CCACCACUGUUUUUUUUUUUUUUUUUUUUUUUUUUAAUUUAACGUAUAUAAGUAAAUGUUAGAACUAAAAAAAAGAAUUUAACAACAACAAUAGAAUUAUAAACAGUAGACAAAAAGAGGGAAACUGUUGAUUUUUAGUUGUUUUAGCUGAUUUUAUAGCUUGUUGUCAUUUUAAGUCAUCAUAAGGCCCUUUUAAAGAUUUAAUAAUAGCCCCGGGGCCCUGGAUGAGAGCCACUGGUUUACUGGCAGUGAUCCUCCUGGUAAUUGUCAGCAGCGUGGGUUAAGUGUGUGUACAGGGUUAACCGGGAGACAGUGUCUCAGGAUGGGACGGGACGAGAGAGCGCUGUUUCCUCAUCUGAUCAUCUCUGAUUGUUUAUAAGCAAAUGUUAGAACUCAAAAAAGAAUUUAACAACAAUAAUAGAAUUAUAAACAGUAGACAAAAAGAUAAUAAAAUAAAAUAAAACCCCACCCUCCACUGGCAGAGCCUGGAUUGUGUCCCAAAUGACGUACUAUAUACACUAUGUACUCAACCGUGUAGUGUAUGAAUUUAAGUUAUUUUGUCAUUCUGUUCAGUCUAUUAGCCCCGCCCCCUCCACUACUACAGUUGAGUGCAUGAAGUGUCCAAAAUUGCACACUUCGUUUUUUCCAUUAAUUAAGUGCAUCAUUUAAAGUGUACUUUUUCUAUGUGAAAUUUUGAGUGAACACACUACUCACACUAUAUAUACUAGAAAACGUCAAAGAAUAGUGCGUAAGUACGCAAAUUGGGAUGCACUUCAUGUUUGUAAUAGCGUAUUAAUACUUUAGAGCUGCACGAUAUUGAAGAAAAAUGCGAUAUGUGAUAACUUAUUAAAUAAUGCGAUACUCAAUAUGCGUUAUGUAAAUUCUGUCAUUAAUUCCUCUCCCUCAUGCCGUUCCACACCCGUAAGACCUUAGUUCAUCUUCAGAACACAAAUUAAGAUAUUUUUGAUGAAAUCUGAGCGGUAUAUGACUCGCCCAUAGACAGCAAUAUAAUCAAGGUCCAGAAAGGUACUAAAGACAUCGUUAAAACAGUCAUGUGACUGCAGUGGUUCAACCUUAAUGUUAUGAAGAGACGAGAAUAAUUUUUGUGCGCAAAAACAAAACAAAAAUAACAACUUUAUUCAACAAUCUCUUCCCUUCCCCACAUUGCAGACCUUCCGUGUUUACGUCCGAACGCCGGCUCAGUAUUGGCUAAAGCUGGUCCUGUGAUCAGCAAGACGCGUGCGUGUGAUGCUGACGCAGGAACCAGCGUUAAGACGUAAAAACAUACUAAUACAUUUGCAGUUUCUGCCAUAUAUUUGAAAUACCCAGAUGGCUUACUACUUUCACUGUAUAUAACCUGAUCACACUGUGUCUCAUUAUUUGAUCAAACUGACAAAACUGACGGCAUUUUACACUAAAUUGGAUUAAAAUUACUAAAUUUAUUUCCGAGAUGAUAAAUGGAAGUUCUACAUUAAACUUGUGAAGUGAUGAGGUAAUGACACUGUGUAAUACUACUGUUGGAGAUGUUUGUUACUGUAUACUCUUUCAGAUACUGUUUUACAGCAAGUACACUAGUAAUCCGUUGUGUUGGGUUCAGAAGCUUGUGAAUCUGUUGUUGAUGUGGAUGAAUUCUGAUCCGUUCUGCUGGAUUCAUCUGAUCUUCACUGCUGCUGUUUGAAGAGCUGAAGGCAGAAUGAACGUUGACCAGAGACAGGCAAAUAUUUACUCCGGUAAAAGUGCAAACGCAACAGAUUUCCCACAUGUCAGAACCUGUAAAGAUCCAUAUUGUUCCUGUCAGUUGGACCUCCUUCUCUCUCUCUCUCUCUCUCUCUCUCUCAUUCGCUUCAAUUCAGUUCAAUUCAAAUACCUUUAUUGGCAUGACAAAAGUACAUUUUGUAUUGCCAAAGCAAUAAAACAACAUAGAAAAAUAGUUUUUUAACUUAAUUAAAAUUUCAGAUAAAAUAUUGAAAGUUAUAUAUACUCUAACCCUAUAAAGUCAAAUAAAAUAAAAGAAUAAUAAAUAACGAUUAUGAUGCAGAAACUUUGUAACAAUUUUUCCUCUCUAUCUGAUCUGAUCUAUGGAUUUCUAUUUUCACCAAUUCUUCACUAGAGUCUCUGAACAUUUCUAGAUUGAGUGGUCAGUAACUGAGGUGUUGGUCUGGAUGUAUCUGAGGACCUCUGAUCUCGUGAUCCAGUUAUAUGACCUCUGAACUUCAGAUUCUGUUCUUUUUCCACAUCGAUGUCAGACUGUCCUCAGUAUUCAGUUACCUCACAUCUCACCAGUACACUAGUAAACAAAGUGAACGAAGGACUUUAAGGCAGCUGUAGGCAAACAAUAAAGAGUUAUGAUAUUAUGAAUGACUUAAUACUCACUGUUGGCUCUCAAACCAACCUGAACCAAAACACAUAUGAACCUCUAGAAUCAUCUCAUCAUUUCAUCUGUGCAUGGGUGAAGAUCAUUAACCAGACAACCAGAUCCUCACCGGUGCAAAGGUCCUGCCUUGGGAGAAAAAGAAUCAUUAUGCUCUCCGCAAAAAGCCUUCAAUGUUAGUGGGUCAAAGGAUCAUGCCAGCAUUGCCAAUGUAAAUAUACUGUAUACACACCUGCAGAUCUACAGGACGCACUUCAUCAAUGAUCAGUAAGUUCUUCAUGCGUACUAUGAAGGUACGGGGAUUCAGAUUAGGCUGAUGUCUGAUCUUGAUUAAAGUGACUCUAGUUCCUGCUUCAUUUUAUUUUUCAGGAUUCUUUGAUAAAUAGAAAGUUCAAAAGAACAGCAUUUAUUUGAAAUAGAAUCUUUUGGAUCAUUGUAAAUGUCUUUACUGGCACUUUUGAUCAAUUUAAACAAUUUAAAAUGAAUAAAAGUAUUAACUUUGUAAAAAAAAAAAAAAAAAAAACAGAACCGUAGUACAUUUGACAUAAAGCCAAUAUACUGUUUGCUAUCUGCAAAUAUGAUCUGCUGUGUAGAAAUAUAACAGUUCAUUUGUGUGAUAAUGCUAAUGUGGAGCUGUGAAGUGUUUUUUUUUUUUUAAAGAUCAAGGAAAACUGGAUUCCUCAUGACACAAGAUCUCAGUCUCUGAUCUUUUUUCAGAUCCGCCAUUAGAGGGCAGAUGAUCUUACCUUUAACACUGAGGAAUCUGGGAAAUAAACCAGUCUCUCAACUCCACAGCCACUUUAAAGGAUUAGAUCACUUCUGAAUUAAAAUUUCCUGAUAAUUUACUCACCCUCAUGUCAUCCAAGAUGUUGUCCAAUGAUGAUCCAAAGAUGUCUUUCUUUCUUCGGUGGAAAAGAAAUUAAGGAUUGUGAGGAAAACAUUCCAGGAUUUUUCUCCAUAUAGUGGACUUCACUGGGGUUCAACGGGUUGAAGGUCCAAAUGUCAGUUUCGGUGCAGCUUCAAAGAGCUCUACAUGAUCCCAGACGAGGAAUAAGAGUCUUAUCUAGAGAAACCAUCGGACAUUUUCUAAAAACAUAAACAUUAUGUACUUUUUAACCACAAAUGCUCGUCUUGCACUGCUCUGUGAUGCUCCACACAUUACGUAAUCAUGUUGGAAAGGUCACGCGUGACGUAGGUGGAAGUACCGAUCCAGUGUUUACAAAGCGAACGUCAAAGACUAAGUCAAACGCCCUUUACAAAAAAAGGUAAAACAACGAUGUCGGACGAUUUUGAAGUUGGAGGAGAAAAUGAGUUUUUUGCUCUACUGCGGUACUUCUGCCUACAUCACGCGUGACCUUUCCAACAUGAUUACGUAAUGCGUGGAGCAUCGCACUAUAUGGAGAAAAAUCCUGGAAGGUUUUCCUCAAAAACCUUCAUUUCUUUUUGAAAGAAAGACAUAAACAUCUUGGAUGGCAUGGGGGUGAGUAAAUUAUCAGGAAAUUUGAAUUCUGAAGUGAACUAAUCCUUUAAGGCAAGCCUUCAAGCAUAGCAAAAAAGCAUAAAGCUGCGGUAUGCAGGGAAGGAGACCAUGAGGCCGUUUUUAUGAAUGGAUGUCAAUGGAGGAGAUUUAAUGAAUUCAUUUCAUGAAUUGACAGCACAUCAGCUAAUCAUUUUGGAUUGAUCUAUUGUUAGAGUUACAGUGGAAAAAAAAUGCUGUUUUAUAAGAGAAGUCACAGACAAUUCUGCGACAGGUAGGAUUCAGUUUACUCAAACAGAUUUACUGUCGCACAACUCUGAACGAAAUUCAGUGACAUCAAGGCACAUGUGAUCCAAGUUGGCUGUUACACUUUUAAUAGACACGAACCCUUGUAUCUCCCUCGGCUCAACUCCACCCAUGAAUGUAAGAGUUGAGAAGAGUUCAUGAACUCCCACAUGAGGCUCAGAUGUGCUGCUUGUGUGUGUGUGUGUGUGUGUGUGUGUGUGUGUGUGUGUGUUUGAUACCAACACCGAUCUGAAGCCAUAAACAGUUUUAAUGUCAGAUGAAAUCAGCUUCAGCCGUUAAACAGAGAAAUACACUAAACUACAGAAUAACAGAGAAAACAAGAUUUAUAGAUCAGAUGAUUUCACCAGGAUAAAAGAGAGAAAACAAAUUACCAAUUUAUUUUUUUCUGUUUGAAUUUUUACAUUCAAUUUGUCUUCAAAUUGAUAUCAAGAUCUUGAAGACAUUUUUCUCGAAUGUAAAAACUAUAUAUAACAAGUUUAUAUAUAAUAUAAUAUAACAUAUUAUUAAUAUACUAUAUAUUUUAUAUAGUAUUUAAAUAUAAAUAAGAAAUAAUAACCUAUUAUAAAUAGAUUAAUAAUAAUCUAAAAAAUAUAUAGUUUCAUGUAUGAUAUAAUAUUGUAUGUUGAUAAUAUUUCUUAUAAUCUAAUAUUUUCAGAAAGUGAAAGCAAUGAAAAGCAUCAGAUGAAUAUUUGAGCACAAGCUACUGAACUCUAUUAAUAUCAGUGCUGUUUAUCAUAACUUUAGCAAAGAUACUCCUGAAUUACUGAGGCUGGUCAAGCAUUGAUGCAGAUCUGAUCGGAGUCUUCACCACAAAACACACUCAAACGGCCCUGAAAUGAGAGACAAGAUGAGACGCUUUACAUCAGUGAAUGUCACUUUAUCAAUCAUCUCAAUCUCAUUUCUUACCCAGUUGACCCUCGUGCACUCUUCAUAUAGCAGCCCUUAAUUGGUCCUUCGUGGACAAAUUUGUGCAUGAAGGUUUCAGGUGUGAACCCCAAUUGUUUUUUUAAAUGUCAUAUCACUAUGUUAGAUAAAAUAAAAACAAUUAAUGAAUUUUUUUUUUUAGAAUUUUUGAAUUUAUAUACCUCUAAAAGUACCAUAUUUUUAUGUAAAAUAUGCUUAUUUUUGUAAUAUUUAAUAUUUAUUUUACUCCAGUAAAAAACAACAACAACAAAAAAACAUUUCAGUAAGUACAGACAGCCAAAACCUAAAAAUUUGUUGACUUUGGUGACAUCUGGUGACACAUGAUGGUAUAAAAAUAUAAAAAUAGCAAAUAUAUUAAUAGCCACUAUAUGGCAGUACUCAGUGACUGCAUACAGGCUGAAAUCUAUAAACCAUUGUUUAACAAACUUAACUUCUUAAGUUUUAAAUUUUAUAAAAAUUGUAGAAUUUUAAAAAAAAAAAAAAACGUUUGUGUUGGGUGAGACUAUACAAAGAUGCCAAAAUAUGCUUACAGACAAAUCUGACCAUGCUAUCAGGAAAAGACAAAGAAGGAGACACAUUUUUUUACAGAUUUACUAAACUCAUUUGGGGUCAAACAAAAUGUCACUGGACCCACUCAUCAUUUUAAUCAUACACUAGAUUUAAUUAUAUCACAUGGAAUCAGUCCUACUGAUAUAGAAAUUCUACCACAAAGUGAUGAUAUCACUGAUCACUACCUUGUAACAUGCGUACUGCAUACUGCUGAUAUUUGUCAAAUUGCGCCAUGAUAUCGACUAGGUAGAACAAUUCUUCCGACAACUAAAGAUAAAUUCACAAAUAAACUGCCUGAUCUGUCUCACCUGCUCAUUGUACCCAAACACACAAAUGAUCUCGAGAACAUGACUAGCAGUAUGUGCACCACUUUCACUAGUACAUUAGAUACUGUUGCACCGAUGAGAUUAAAAAAGGUUAGAGAGAAAAAUACUGCACCAUGGUACAACAGUAAUACUUACGCUAUCAAGAGAGAAACUCGUAAUCUAGAACGCAAAUGGAGACAAACUCGUUUAGAGGUCUUUAGAAUCGCGUGGAAAGACAGCUCGUCCCGUUAUAGAAAGACUCUAAAAGCAGCCAGGGCCGAGCAUCUCCGCAAACUCAUAGAAAAUAACCAAAACAAUGACUUUAUGAAUUUUUUCACUGAAAAAAUCGAAAGCAUCAGAAAUACGGUUGUAAAUGUACAACCUUUGACAGAGUUUUAUGAUUCAGCCUCAAUUAUCACCCCUUAAGAACAGUUUCAGUGCUUUACAACUAUAGGACAGGAAGAGCUAAAUAAACUUAUCACUGCGUCUAAACCAACAACAUGUUUAUUAGAGCCAAUACCCACUAAACUACUGAAAGAGUUGUUACCUGUAGCAGAAGAGCCUCUUCUCAAUAUUAUCAACUCAUCUUUAUCUCUAGGUCAUGUUCCAAGACCGUUCAAGUUAGCAGUUAUUAAGCCUCUCAUUAAGAAACCACAAUUAGAUCCAAAUGUACAGGCAAAUUACAGACUUCUUGCAAAAAAACACCAUCUAUUAACAUAUUUCAUAUGUUACAAAAACAGCCUUCUUCCACCUCAGAAACAUUGCUAAGAUACGGAAUAUGUUAUCUGUUUCUGAUGCAGAAAAGUUAGUUCAUGCUUUCAUGACGUCUAGACUAGAUUACUGUAAUGCAUUACUAGCUGGUUGCCCUGCUUCCUCAAUAAACAAGCUACAAUUGGUACAAAAUGCAGCUGCUAGAGUUCUUACCAGGUCAAGAAAAUAUGAUCAUAUAACACCAGUUUUAUCAUCUCUUCACUGGUUACCUAUUAAGUUCCGUAUCGAUUAUAAAGUACUGCUAAUGACCUAUAAGGCUCUAAGUGGUUUAGCUCCUGUGUACUUAACCGAUCUUUUAUCGCCCUACAAUCCUUCACGCUCUUUAAGAUCACAAAACUCUGGACUUCUGGUUGUACCUAGGAUAUCUAAGUCCUCUAAAGGAGGGAGAGCGUUUUCACAUUUGGCUCCUAAACUCUGGAAUAGCCUUCCUGAUAAUGUUCGGGGCUCAGACUCGCUCACCCAGUUUAAAUCUAGAUUAAAGACACAUCUCUUCAGCCAAGCAUUCACAUAAUCCAUCUCAUAUCAGAUCAAUUGCACAUGACUAUCUUUGCUUAAUGUUAUGAACAGCAGCUAUGCUAAUUAUUCUCCAUUUGCUUUUCCGUUUUAUCUCGGGACGCCCGUCCUGAGGUGACUAGAGAGUACAUCAGUUUCAGUUUGGAUCCAGCCUCUUAAGAAGACCUCAGAUGAUCAACACCUGUGAAGAGACGGCACAACUCCUGCGAGGACUUCAGAAGAUGCAACAUCUGGAUCAACACGCACAUUCCCAAAUUUCUAUAUAUCCUAAUUAUUGUUAAUAUGUAAUUCAUUUUUCCAGAAGCUCUUUGCUUCUACCUUCAAUUAAAUUGCUAACAGUGAUUGUAAAUUAAUUGCCUAAAUUAUUACAUUAGCUAACUGCAUUCUCUAAAUUGUAAUGUUGACAUGCAUUCUCUGUAAAGCUGCUUUGAAACGAUAUGUAUUGUGAAAAGCGCUAUACAAAUAAAUGUGAAUUGAAUUUAA